AUUCUGUGAUGAUGGCACUUCCAUAAUAAUUCUUUGUACCUUUCCCAUGCCUCAUACAAGGACUCAUAAUCCAUUUGUUAGAAAGCAGUGUCUCGUUCCUCAACUU
rnacentral:snoRNA from 1 species